GGGAGGGAGAGCGGGUGUCACCGGGGAGACCGACAUGAAUGAUAUAUUUUUCGUGCUUUUCUCCCGUUUCUUCUGUCCUCUUUCUUCUGCGAGGCCACUGGGCUCUUGCUCACGUCCUGUUGUUGAUCUCUCCGGUGAGAAAGUGAAGCCCUUUCCAACAAGCACAGAGACACAGAGGAAUGAGGAUCCUAUAACAUGGACGGAUGUGAAGAGCAGGGAAAGAACAACCAUCAUUGCCAAACAACCGCUCCAGCGUGCCAUGGGGUGACACAUCGACAAGAAAAAACGCAGCUGCGGAGUGAACAUCUGAAAAUCCGAAAUGUGUGCGAGGGGGCAAACGGCACCCCGUAAUUUCUCUGCAACACCCGCUCAUCUUCCCUCUCCAUCUCGCCUCUUUCCCUCGUUCCUCGCAGCCAUCAACCACAACAAUCAGCCGAGAUCUUCGCAGAGAGCCGAGAGAGAGGGUGCAGAGAGCAUGAAGAGGAGGAGGAGGAGGACAGAGGGAGGAAUAUUAAUGGAAUUGAUGGUAAAGUGCAGCGGCUUGACAUUUAAGGCUGAGACUGACUGGACUUCGUGGGUACCUAUGGCACAGGGAAGGAUUUGACUUGGAUAUAUACGGGUCACAAAAUUGCAAAACUUUUAAGGUAGAAAUCCCACUUCAUGGCAGAUUCUUCAUUGUUUUGAUGCCAAAUGUGAAAAAAGGAGGAAUUACUGGUGAGGUGUGACUUCACUUCACUCAACCUUAGAUUGUUUUAAUUAAACCAAAUUGUGAUCUCAGCAGUUAGAAUUUGAAAGCAUGCCGAGACGAGGAAGGCAAUUGAUGGCAAAAAAUAUGCUCUCUAUCAGCUCUGAUAACAUUUUUUUGUAUUUACCAGUUUAAUUGCAGUCAUGUGGAAUUUAUCUAAAUUACUUUUUUAAGGAGUGAGCAGAAUGUACAGUAAUUCCAUCUAAUAAUAUACAUUAUUAUUGUCCUUUGCAAAACCAGGAAGUAGCUUUCCCAAAU